GUCCGCACCGUAACGAUGAUUACUCGUUGUUGGCGAUAUGACAGUCAGCGACCAAGCGAAGCGAUAAGUAAUCCACCUGGGAGUACGCCGGCAACGGUGAACUCAAAGGAAUUGACGGGCCCGCACAAGCGGAGGAGCAUGUGGUUUAAUUCGAUGAUACGCGAGGAACCUUACCUGGGCUUGAAAGUUAGCGACCGGUCCUGAAAGGGAUCUUCCAGCAAUGGCGCGAAACUAGGUGCUGCAUGGCUGUCGU
rnacentral:rRNA from 1 species